CGAGCCGCGCUGAGCUAACGUUAGCAAACGUGUGUGCUAUGUAUGUUGAUUUGGCACAAGGUUUACGCCGGAUGCCCAUUCUGAUACAAUGGUGAUAAAGAAACUGCGUUAUAUCGCUGAAAUUGACGAAAUCAAAAUGUUAUUUUGAAAAGACGUUAGCGGGGAAAACAGCAGCAGCUAGCUUCAUCAUUUAGUAGCAGACAAGUUAUUUUUAAUAUGACUUUUGAGUCAAAAACAGUUGGUGGAGAGUCAGAUAAAUGUUAUAUCUGCCUGAGUCCGUUUACAGAGCAAACUGUGGCUUCGCUGGAGAACUCAGCAUGAUUUUUGUCUUGAUUGUAUCCUCCGGUGGUCCCAGACAGCCAGUAUCUGCCCUGUGGAUCGGCUCAGCUUUGGUUUCAUAUACCAGAGACGACACGUGGGAGGGAACGUUGAAAAGAAGAUCAGAGUGACUAACCAGAAGAAGCACGUGGAUGAUGAGGAGGACAGUGAUGCUGUUUUCUGUGAGGAAUGUGGACGGGGUGACAGUAGACAUCAGCUGCUUGUGUGCACGCACUGUGAUUCAGGGCAGCUCCAAUGCAGAGGAGGAGCUCAGCGAUGGAAAGCUAACAGACCUUCUAACUGAGGCAGGUGAAAUUCCGUCUGCCACCAGCCGUCUUCGACCCUGUGCUGUAAAUCAACCCAGCAGUUACAACAGGCAGCGACGCAGCCAAAGAAUCCAGAGCAGAGCCAGCAGGAGUGGAGUUCGUACCCCCAACACUCCCUGGGUCAGUCCAACAUUACACACAGGAUCAAAUUAUUAGUAUAAACGUGAAAAUCUGUCAAACUGUAAUUUCAUUAUGAUUUGUGAGUGUACAUAACAAUGUAACAUAAACAUUGCAUGUUUAUAGGGAAA